UUCCUCCAUCCUUACACUCUUGCUUAAAAUGGAGAUUCAGCCAGCUUCUGGGCAGGAAGAACCUCCUUCUCAGAUACUUCACAGAUACGAGAUGUAGCUAUUUGGGGACAUCCUUAAGUAGAAGGAAAUUAAGAGAAGAACAGCAAAGGAUGAGGAAACACAGCAAGCACAACAAAGCAUGUCAGAAGGAGAAAGAAGUAUAUCCAACACUCGGCAGGGCAGAAGCUGAAAUGGUUGGAAAGAUGUGGUGAGGAGAAAGGCUUUCACCUCAGAGGACUCCAGCAAGAUCAAUAGCUCCCACUGCUUAAGUGCCAGCUCAAGCAUCAUCCCUUGCCUCCUGCUCCCAGGUGCCUGUUCCACCCCAGCAGUGCCCUGAGAGCCGCACGGUACAACUGCGGUUAUGCUGAGCAGUGAACUGGGUGAGAAAGCCAACAGGGAGACCACGGCAGGGAAAGAGGAAGAUCUGGAAAACAACGCCCCUGCCAAAACAAAUACACAUCAAUCAAGUACAAAGGCUGGUAUCAAAGCUAUCAAUUUGUGUUACACCAUGGUUAUAUGAGAAAUACAGCUGACUUCACUUGUAUAACAUGUUCUGUCUGCCCUACAGUAACAAACUUGUUUCAAACCAGGAAUAAAUAUUUCAACACAAAUUCGAAUAGGUAAUGUGCAGACAUUUCAUAAUCCUAUGGAACCAAUUUGUUAACAGUGUUGGAAUCUGGGUGAUUUCUAGAUUAACUUCAGAGAUUGAAUAAAAUACUUUUGCAAACUGAACUACAGUUUCUGUAACGCUUAUAUUUUAAGCAUUUUUCAACGUAAUUAAAAUAAUUCUUAAAUCAGCCCCUGAAGUUGUUACAGCCCUGAGUAUUGAUUUUAACUGUGUUAAUGACAUUACACAAUUAAACUGUAAGACUGAGGUUGAUAUCUUCACAUGACAUAUUUACACAAAUGACUGCUUAAAAAAA